rnacentral:rRNA from 1 species
UACGGGGGGGCAAGCGUUGUUCGGAAUUACUGGGCGUAAAGGGUUCGUAGGUGGCCGCUAAGUCAGACGUGAAAUCCCUCAGCUCAACUGGGGAACUGCGUCUGAGACUGGUGGGCUUGAGUGCAGGAGAGGAACGCGGAAUUCCAGGUGUAGCGGUGAAAUGCGUAGAUAUCUGGAGGAACACCGGUGGCGAAGGCGGCAUCCUGGACCAACACUGACGCUGAGGAGCGAAAGCCAGGGGAGCAAAGCGGGG